UCGAGGGGCAGCGGGGGAGUAGCAAUACUCCCGCCGGCGACCGGCGCACGGGUGAGUAACACGUAUGAAACCUGCCCGUAGCAGGGGGAUAAGCGGAAGAAAUUCCGUCUAAUACCGCGUAACAACCCGAGGAGGCAUCUCCUCGGGUUUAAAGGAAGCGAUUCCGGCUACGGAUGGUCAUGCGUCGCAUUAGCUAGUUGGCGGGGUAACGGCCCACCAAGGCGACGAUGCGUAGGGGUUCUGAGAGGAAGGUCCCCCACACUGGUACUGAGACACGGACCAGACUCCUACGGGAGGCAGCAGUGAGGAAUAUUGGUCAAUGGCCGCAGGGCUGAACCAGCCAAGUCGCGUGAGGGAUGACGGUCCUAUGGAUUGUAAACCUCUUUUGUCAGGGAGCAAAGGGCGCCACGUGUGGCGUUUUGCGAGUACCUGAAGAAAAAGCAUCGGCUAACUCCGUGCCAGCAGCCGCGGUAAUACGGAGGAUGCGAGCGUUAUCCGGAUUUAUUGGGUUUAAAGGGUGCGCAGGCGGAAUGUCAAGUCAGCGGUAAAAUUUCGGGGCUCAACCCCGUCGUGCCGUUGAAACUGGCGUUCUUGAGUGAGCGAGAAGUAUGCGGAAUGCGUGGUGUAGCGGUGAAAUGCAUAGAUAUCACGCAGAACUCCGAUUGCGAAGGCAGCAUACCGGCGCUCAACUGACGCUCAUGCACGAAAGCGUGGGUAUCGAACAGGAUUAGAUACCCUGGUAGUCCACGCAGUAAACGAUGAAUACUAACUGUCCGGGCAGAAUGAUGCCUGGGUGGUACAGCGAAAGCGUUAAGUAUUCCACCUGGGGAGUACGCCGGCAACGGUGAAACUCAAAGGAAUUGACGGGGGCCCGCAC
rnacentral:rRNA from 1 species